rnacentral:lncRNA from 1 species
GCAGGGCAUUGAUGAGGGAGGACUUGCCCGCGCCCGACUCGCCCGUGACGCCCACCUCCAGGCGGAUGCUUUCCGUGGAGGCCAGCAGCUCCUGGAGAACUACUAUGCAAAGAGGUCCUGCUACCGUGCUGGAGAGACCUCAUGUAGAGACUGCAGCCACAUGGAGAUGAGCUUGAAGCCAUCCAGGACAUUUCAGCCACAGAUGAGCUCCAGCUGAAUGCAGGCACAGGUGUAACCCCAGCCAACACCACAUGGGGGGCAGAAGAACCAUACAGCUGAGCCCAGCCAACCCACAGGCUUUCCAGAAACAAGCCAGGAGUGAGGUGGGACUCUUCUACAUUCAGUGACUCAAUUUGGUCAGAACUAAGGACAAUGAGGAACUGGCCUUGGGUGCAAAAUUUAAGGGAGUGCGAAAAAUUGAGUCAUUGAGAUAAAUUAUAUUUUAAUGCAAUUUUUAAUGCAAUAUUUUAACUAAUAAAAAUUAAUGCCAAAAAA